UAGUAACGGCGAGUGAAGCGGCAACAGCUCAAAUUUGAAACCUGGCGCUUGCGUCCGGAUUGUAAUUUGCAGAGGAUGCUUCUGGGCAGCGGCCGGUCUAAGUUCCUUGGAAAAGGACGUCAUAGAGGGUGAGAACCCCGUAUGUGACCGGCGCGCACCCUCCACGUAGCUCCUUCGACGAGUCGAGUUGUUUGGGAAUGCAGCUCUAAAUGGGAGGUAAAUUUCUUCUAAAGCUAAAUAUUGGCCCGAGACCGAUAGCGCACAAGUAGAGUGAUCGAAAGAUGAAAAGCACUUUGGAAAGAGAGUUAAAAAGCACGUGAAAUUGUUGAAAGGGAAGCGCUUCCCACCAGACUCCGCGGCGGUGUUCCGCCGGUCUUCUGACCGGUCUACUCGCCGCCGUGGGGCCAGCAUCGUCUGGGGCCGCCGGAUAAGACCGCAGGAAUGUAGCUCAUUGAGUGUUAUAGCCUGCGGGGAUGCGGCGCGCCCCGGGCGAGGUCCGCGCUUCGGCAAGGAUGCUGGCGUAAUGGUGGGCAGCGGCCCGUCUUGAAACACGGACCAAGGAGUCUAACAUCUAUGCGAGUGUUCGGGUGUCAAACCCCUACGCGUAAUGAAAGUGAACGGAGGUGGGAGCUUCGGCGCACCAUCGACCGAUCCUGAUGUCCUCGGAUGGAUUUGAGUAAGAGCAUAGCUGUUGGGACCCGAAAGAUGGUGAACUAUGCCUGAAUAGGGUGAAGCCAGAGGAAACUCUGGUGGAGGCUCGCAGCGGUUCUGACGUGCAAAUCGAUCGUCAAAUUUGGGCAUA
rnacentral:rRNA from 1 species